rnacentral:rRNA from 1 species
UACGAACCGUGCAAACGUUGUUCGGAAUCACUGGGCUUAAAGGGCGCGUAGGCGGGCCACCAAGUCCGGGGUGAAAUCUUUCGGCUCAACCGGAAAAGUGCCUUGGAUACUGGUGGUCUUGAGCGAGGUAGGGGCAUGUGGAACUUCCGGUGGAGCGGUGAAAUGCGUUGAUAUCGGAAGGAACUCCGGUGGCGAAAGCGACGUGCUGGACCUCUUCUGACGCUGAGGCGCGAAAGCUAGGGGAGCGAACGGG